UACGUAGGGGGCUAGCGUUGUCCGGAAUCAUUGGGCGUAAAGAGCGUGUAGGCGGUCCGGUAAGUCCGCUGUGAAAGUCGGGGGCUCAACCCUCGAAUGCCGGUGGAUACUGUCGGGCUAGAGUGCGGAAGAGGCGAGUGGAAUUCCUGGUGUAGCGGUGAAAUGCGCAGAUAUCGAGAGGAACACCGGUGGCGAAGGCGGCCUUCUGGACAGUGACUGACGCUGAGACGCGAAAGCGUGGGGAGCAAACAGG
rnacentral:rRNA from 1 species